CCUCCCUCUCUCUCUCUAUCUCUCUCUCUCUUUCUAUCCUAUCUUUCUCUGUCCAUUACUCUGCCAUCUGACAUCAUGAUCACACUCCUCAUCAGAUUUUCUGUCUCAAUACUCUGGACAGGUUUUACUGAUGGGAGUGAUGUUACUCAGAUCCCCUUCUUACUCCAGGGACUGAAAGACAGUGAUGUUCAGAUUAACUGUAGUCAUACUAAAGGAGCUGACUAUGCACAAAUGUAUUGGUACAGACAACGUCCAGGAGAAGGAAUCAAACAAAUAGUUUAUACAGCUACUUAUGGUACUCCAGACUAUGGAGAAUUCAGUAAAGAGAAAUAUUCAGUUGUCAAGACAGUUGUACAGAGUGGAUCUUUCACAGUGAAGAAGUUGGAGACAGGAGACAGUGGAAUGUACUUCUGUGCUAACCAUCAACAUGAUCAAUCUUCUCAUACAUGUAGUAACUCUACUACUAUGGGUGACAGGACUGUCACAAACAGACCAAGUCCACCAGACUCCUACUGCAAUACUAAAACAACCUGGAGAUGAAGUCCAGCUGACCUGCAACCAUACUAAUAUAAACUAUAAUAUGAUACUCUGGUACCAGCAGUCAGAACUAAACCCAGC